UGAAAUGAUAGAUUAAAGGUUGAAUGGAAUGUUGGCUGGAAUAAGGUUCCUUGAAUGAUGGAAUAAAGGCAUAUAAACUGAGUGAAAUGUUGUAAUCAUAGUAAAAGGGUUAAAUGACAUACUGGAAUGAUGGAAUAAGAGCUGGAUUCAAUGUUGGAAUAAUGGAAUAAGGUUCCUUGAAUGAUGGAAUAAAGGCAUAUAAACUGAGUGAAAUGUUGUAAUCAUAGUAAAAGGGUUAAAUGACAUACUGGAAUGAUGGAAUAAGAGCUGGAUUCAAUGUUGGAAUAAUGGAAUAAGGUCUAAAUUGGAUGUUGGAAAGUAUAAUAAGGGCUGAAUGCCACAUAGGGAAGAUGAAAUAAACGCUGAAUGGAAUCCUGGGAUUGACAGCUUUGUGAUGUUCGUUGGAUUCAGGCUGCACUGAAUUCCCGUGACAGAAGUAAAAAAAAAAAAAAAAAAAAA